rnacentral:rRNA from 1 species
AUGCCCGUCUGCAAAAAGCUUAUUUUGAUCUGGAGUUGCAAAGAUUUUUUACAAGCACUUAUAGAAUGGGAUGCGCCACCGCCGCCGCCAGCACGGUCCCAACAGCUGACGCGAGUCUCCACGAUCGACAUCGCCGUCCGUCUGUGCCCCGAGCUCGACGGUUCUCCGGCCGACAAGCGUUCGUUCGUGUUGCCGCCAGUGUUAGGCGUUGCUCGCCACCACCCCAGAUCGCUGUCGUGCGUCAUCGCCGCCCCAAGCUCCAUGAGCUACUUGAAGAGGGAGUGCUUGGCCUGCUUCAUGUAUUGUCUCAAAACAACUUGCCAUGCCAUAUUUCUGUGCUUCAUGUAUUGUCUGAAUACUUGA